AGAGUUUGAUCAUGGCUCAGAAUCAACGCUGGCGGCGUGCCUAACACAUGCAAGUCGCACGAGAAAGGGACUUCGGUCUUGAGUAAAGUGGCGCACGGGUGAGUAACACGUGACUAAUCUACCCUCGAGUGGGGAAUAACUGAGAGAAAUCUUAGCUAAUACCGCAUAACACUUACGAGUCAAAGCAGCAAUGCGCUUGGGGAGGAGGUCGCGGCCGAUUAGCUAGUUGGCGGGGUAAUGGCCCACCAAGGCGAUGAUCGGUAUCCGGCCUGAGAGGGCGCACGGACACACUGGAACUGAAACACGGUCCAGACUCCUACGGGAGGCAGCAGUGGGGAAUUUUGCGCAAUGGGGGAAACCCUGACGCAGCAACGCCGCGUGGAGGAUGAAGUAUCUUGGUACGUAAACUCCUUUCGAUGGGGAAGAUAAUGACGGUACCCAUAGAAGAAGCCCCGGCUAACUUCGUGCCAGCAGCCGCGGUAAUACGAGGGGGGCAAGCGUUGUUCGGAAUUAUUGGGCGUAAAGGGUGCGUAGGCGGUUUGACAAGUCAUCUGUGAAAUCUAUGGGCUCAACCCAUAGUCUGCAGGCGAAACUGUCGGGCUUGAGUAUUGGAGAGGUGAGUGGAAUUUCCGGUGUAGCGGUGAAAUGCGUAGAUAUCGGAAGGAACACCUGUGGCGAAAGCGGCUCACUGGACAAUAACUGACGCUGAGGCACGAAAGCUAGGGGAGCAAACAGGAUUAGAUACCCUGGUAGUCCUAGCCCUAAACGAUGAUUGCUUGGUGUGGCAGGUACCCAAUCCUGCCGUGCCGAAGCUAACGCGAUAAGC
rnacentral:rRNA from 1 species